rnacentral:rRNA from 1 species
AGUUUGAUCCUGGCUCAGGAUGAACGCUGGUUGCGUGCCUAAUACAUGCAAGUCGAACGAAUCUCUUCGGAGAUGAGUGGCGAACGGGUGAGUAAUACAUAGGUAACCUGCCCCUGUGCGGGGGAUAACAGGAGGAAACUCCUGCUAAUACCGCAUAGCCAUGAGCACCGCAUGGAGCUCAUGCCAAAUAUCCUUUCGGGGAUAGCGCAGGGAUGGACCUAUGGCGCAUUAGCUUGUUGGCGGGGCAACGGCCCACCAAGGCAACGAUGCGUAGCCGGCCUGAGAGGGCGGACGGCCACAUUGGGACUGAGACACGGCCCAGACUCCUACGGGAGGCAGCAGUAGGGAAUUUUCGGCAAUGGGGGAAACCCUGACCGAGCAACGCCGCGUGAGCGAAGAAGGCCUUCGGGUCGUAAAGCUCUGUUGUAAAGGAAGAACGGCGCAUACAGGAAAUGGUAUGCGAGUGACGGUACUUUACCAGAAAGCCACGGCUAACUACGUGCCAGCAGCCGCGGUAAUACGUAGGUGGCGAGCGUUAUCCGGAAUCAUUGGGCGUAAAGAGGGAGCAGGCGGCCGCAAGGGUCUGUGGUGAAAGACCGAAGCUAAACUUCGGUAAGCCAUGGAAACCGGGCGGCUAGAGUGCGGAAGAGGAUCGUGGAAUUCCAUGUGUAGCGGUGAAAUGCGUAGAUAUAUGGAGGAACACCAGUGGCGAAGGCGACGGUCUGGGCCGCAACUGACGCUCAUUCCCGAAAGCGUGGGGAGCAAAUAGGAUUAGAUACCCUAGUAGUCCACGCCGUAAACGAUGGUCACUAAGUGUCGGGGGUCAAACCCCGGUGCUGCAGUCAACGCAAUAAGUGACCCGCCUGAGUAGUACGUUCGCAAG